rnacentral:lncRNA from 1 species
AGAAAUUUUCGGCAAUCACACACGCAUUUAACGCUUCAAAACAUCACAUUCGAAAAAUAAACCAACGAUAUCCCUAAACCGCAUGAUGCUCCUCAAUAAACCAAACCAAUAAAUCACAAAUUGCCUGAUACCGAAACUAAAUUAAAUCUAAACGGCUUAAAUCCACAAUCAUCAACCGACUCAAAACAGCUUAAAUCCAAACAGCUUAAAUCCACAAUCAUAAACCGAAUCAAAACAACUUAAAUCUGAACAGCUUAAAUCUACAAUCACAAACGAAUCAAAACAACUUAAGUCUGAACAGCUUAAAUCCACAGUAUUCCAAAUUGACAGCCUAUGUACAGAGCUCAAUAUUUCAAGAAACAUACACAACAGAAACAGAACGACAGAAACAAAACAACGCCGACUUAAAUCCAAAGUUUCAACAAUAUUACAUUUUAAACACACACUCAAACGAACAUUCAAUCCAGACCCGCAAAUCAGUAUGUGUACAACCGAAAUUGAAAUAAUCAUGAAUACUCAACCAUAACCAACAUACUAUUUUCAACCCACGAUUUAGUCAAAACUGUACAUGAAAUAAAAAAACGAAAUUGUCAUAACAGCACAAAAUCAACAAAUAGAUUGGAAGAAACUCGAAGCUGUUACCGAAACGUGACCCUUUGUUGCUACAAAUUGUUGAUGCGUGAUGUCGGAAUGAAUGUUGCUCCUAGUUUUCGCUGUAUUUGCGUUCGUGGUUGUUGUUUGUUGCUGCAGAUCGUUGAGGUAGAGCUCCUUCAUUUCAUACACGUCCUUGCUGCAAAGAAAAAGCCUAUUGCUGGGUUUCAACUGGAACAUGCGAAAUCCGAACCAUCACGAACCAAGACGUGAUCCUGAAUAAUAUGUUGAUGGUGUUAUCAAAGAGGGUUUGAUGUUGGAUUUGCAGCGGAUCCGGCGAGAGGCGGGGAAGAGUCUCCUGGGUUGAAUCACGGCGGAAGGGUUGCAGUGAGUUAAGCGGUCGGCGGAGUGAGCGAUUUAUGAUGAAUCGCGGCGGAGAGGGUUUGGUGGUUGUGGUCGAAAAACUUAGUGGAGGCGGAGGGUUUUUAUGAGGUGAAGAGAUGGAAUCGGAGAGUGAGAAGGGUUUUGAAGCGUGAAGGUAGCGAUGGUUGUGAUGAAGAUGAGAUGGCGGCAGAUGGAGGUUUUGAGCGGAGAUUUGGGGUUUUAACGGUUGGUUGACGGUGGAGGUGACGGAAGGUUAAAGGGUUUGGGUAGGUGACGAUGUUGGCGAGCUCGCGGUUGAGAUGGAGGAAUGGGUUUCGGUUAUUUUGACGGCGGCGAAGACAUGGAUGGUGGCGGAUGAAGGUAAGGGUGAUGGUUUUGUGGAUGUGAUUGAGAAGAGAUUAUGAUGGUGGAGGUUGUGACGGAGCUUGACGGUGGCGUUUCCGGAUGGAAAUGAAAGAUUUGUGGAGAGGUUUUUUGAGGAUUUGAGAGAAAGAGGGCUUUUGUGUGAGAGUGACUGCGAGGGAUUUUUUUCAGAGAGAGAUGUGAGUAGUGAAUGGUGUCUGCGAGAGUGAGGGAGCUGGGUGAUUCAAAUAGGGAUUCUCCUUUUUCUUUUUUUUGUUUUUUUUUGUUUUCUUUCGUACAGUAGAGAGAGAGGAGAGGUAGUGGAGAGUGAGUGGAGCAGACAGAAAUUGUAGUGGAGAGAGACGUUAGGAUAAGAGAGAUUUUUUU